AUAUUUGCCUGGCAGGGAAGAUAACAUGAUCACAAAGGUGGUUUUCCCAGGGUGAGGGUUCUCCAUUGCACUAUGGAUUUACUGACCCCUGCAAUUUCCCAAAUGUGGGAAACUUGACUACAUAAUUUGUGGUAGUAGGGGACCCCCUU
rnacentral:snRNA from 1 species